CCAAGAACCACACCACACACAACCAGUCCCGCAAAUGGCACAGAAAUGGCAUCAAGAAACCCCGGUCACAAAGAUACGAAUCUCUUAAAGGGGUGAGUAAAUACAGCGGAUCAUAAAAUAUCCCAUGGGGGCGGAGGUUGGGGAGGAGAUGGGGUUUCUUUGUAUAGCCCUGGCUGUCCUAUGUAGACCAAGCUGGCCUCGAACUCAGAGAGAUGUACUCAGGAGUGCUGGGAUUAAAGGUGUUGCCCACCUCCUCUGGUGACUCUUAGAACUGCCCUUUGAUGUAAUGGCUUCCCAAGGAACCUUCUGUUCCUUGCUCUCCCCUGCCAGACUCAGAAAAGCUUUGACUUUCCCAGUCCCUGAUGUAACUUGCUCCUAAGAAACUAAAUGCAUUAUAAAUGGUUGUGAGCCACCUUGUGGUUGCUGGUAUUUGAACUCAGGACCUCUGGAAGAGCAGUCAGUGCUCUUAACCACUGAGCCAUCUCUCCAGCCUUAAUUCUGUACAUUAGAUCAUACCCAGCAUAAGACUGGGGAUAACUGAGCCUGCACCUGGUCUGUUUGCUGCCUGUAACCU
rnacentral:lncRNA from 1 species